GGGGCCUCGCUACGUUGCCCAGGCUGAUCUCCAACUCCUGGCCUCCAGCAAUCCUCCUGCCCUGGCCCCACAAAGUGCUGGGAUUAUAGGCAUGAGCCACUGCUUCCAGCCUCAACUCAAUUUUAAAAAUAAGUGAAUUGUGUCAGAGUUCUAACUGGACUUGAUUCCCUGGGAAUGGACCUCGUCGUCCAGGGACAAAACAUCCUUCAGCUCCGCCUCCGAGAGACCGUGUCUGAAGGGAGGACCAGUGGGGCUUUGAGGCACAUCUCAUGUCUUCUGCAUUUGGAGGAUGCAGAAUCCAAGAGAGGGAGGGAUACAGCCACCCGCGCGGUGUCCAGCACAUCACCUGGGAUCAGCAUUUGGACAGCGCCCACAAGAGACGGGGUUUCACCAUGUUAGUCAAGCUGGUCUCCAACUCCUGACCUCGUGAUCCACCUGCCUCGGUCUCCCAAAGUGCCAAUCUUUUCCUCUGCAUGCACACCUACAGAACCAUAAAUGGCCCGCUCCUCAACCUCGAAGGGGUCUGAGACAGACACUAUAGGGAGGGAAGUGGUAACUCAAGGAAAAUAAUGCAGAAACCAACUGCACCUACCCCACUCCACCCUGGCCCACCAAGGCUUGUCUUUAAAUUAGGAUAAUUGGGCUGGGCGUGGUGGCUCACACCUGUAAUCCCUGCACUUUGGGAGGCUGAGGCAGGAGGACUGCUCGAGGCCAGAGCUCAAGACCAGCCUAGGCAACAAAGGGAGACCCCAUCUCUACAAAAAAAUUUAAAAAUUAGCUGGGCAUAGGGGCACACACCUGUAGUCCCUGCUACUCUAGAGGCUGAGGUGGGAGGAUCACUUGAGCCCAGGAGGUUGAGGCUGCAGUGAGCUGUGAUUACAUCACUGCACUCCAGACUGGGCAAAAGAGUGAGGCCCUGUCUCUAAAAUAAAUACAUAAAUACAUGAACAAAUAAAUACAAAUAAAGUUAAACUGGUUAAAAAUUAAUAAAAU
rnacentral:lncRNA from 10 species